UACGUAGGGGGCAAGCGUUGUCCGGAUUUAUUGGGCGUAAAGAGCGUGUAGGCGGCUUUACAGGUCCGUUGUGAAAACUCGAGGCUCAACCUCGAGACGCCGGUGGAAACCGUAAAGCUAGAGUCCGGAAGAGGAGAGUGGAAUUCCUGGUGUAGCGGUGAAAUGCGCAGAUAUCAGGAAGAACACCCGUGGCGAAGGCGGCUCUCUGGGACGGUACGGACGCUGAGACGCGAAAGCGUGGGGAGCGAACAGG
rnacentral:rRNA from 1 species